rnacentral:rRNA from 1 species
GGUCAGUAGGUUGGUCGUGCCACCGGUACGUACUGGUCUCACUGAUUCCUCCUUCCUGAAGAACCGUAAUGCCAUUAAUUUGGUGUUGCGGGAAAACAGGACUGUUACUUUGAAAAAAUUAGAGUGUUUAAAGCAAGCUAACGCUUGAAUACAUUAGCAUGGAAUAAUGAAAUAGGACGAUCGAUCCUAUUUUGUUGGUUUCUAGGAUUGACGUA